rnacentral:lncRNA from 1 species
GUGGGGUACGUCGGAGUUGAUUUAUCGAGGUUCUGCAGUUUGGCUAAGACUUUUGGAAAAUAAUGUAUAAUUUAAUGUGAUAUAUAGGUUCAUGCAUCCGAAAGGAAGCAGACUGAGAUCUUCAUGGAAGACGACCAGUACCUAAUUUCGCAGAUGCAGCGGAGUGCGGACUAUUUUUUGAAGUUUUUUUUUUUUUUGCUUCACAUUAUUUAAGAGUUUGACCCGUUGUGGACAGAACUUGGUUCAGCACUCGGGUGAAAUUUUUAAAUUCACUUCACACUUUAAGACCAAUCAAAAUGACACAUAAAUUAUUAAUUAAAAAAUAUUAAAUUAGAUAAAAAAUAGCUACAAAAAAUAAAAACGAUAAUUUUAACGACGCUAACGCUUCCAGCUAAACCCUAAAUCUUAAAUUCUAAACCAUAUACCCUAAAUUCCAAACCCAAAUUCAAACCCCUAAACUCAAAUUCUAUACCCUAAACCUUAAUCCUAGACUCUAAAUCCAAAUAAUGUACCCUAAACCCAAAAACUAGACUAUAAACCUAAACUCUAUACCUUAAACCCAAAUCCUAGACCCAAAAACCAAACCGUAAACCUUAAACCCAGACCCUAUAGCAUCUAAGUUUGGGGUUUGGGUUUAGGGUUUACCGUUUGGGUUUUAGGUCUAGGAUUUGGGUUUAGAGUAUAGGUUUUGGGUUUAAGAUUUACGGUUUGGGUUUAGGAUUUACCGUUUGGGUUAAGGUUUACGGUUUGGAUUUAGGGUCUAAGACUUGGGUUUAGGGUAUAAGGUUUAGGUUUAUAGUCUAUUUUUGGGUUUAAGGUAUAUAAUUUGGGUUUAGGGUCUAGGAGUAGGGUUUAGGGUAUAGGGUUUGGGUUUAGGGGUUUGGAUUUGGGUUUAGAAUUUACAGUAUAGGGUUUAGAAUUUAAGAUUUAAGAUUUAGGGUUUUGCUGGAAGCGUUAGCGUCGUUAAAAUUAGCGCUUUUUAUUUUUUAUAGCUAUUUUUUAUUUAAUUUAAUAUUUUUUAAUUAAUAAUCUAUGUGUCACUUUGAUUGGUACUAAAAUGGUGGGCCGUAGGGGGUGAACCUAAGUUUUGUUCGUGUAUAUUAAAUGGAUGUAUAAGUUUUUGAGUUCAAAUACAAAAUACAAAUGGUGUAUCUUUCUCCAUUUCACAGUGUAAAUGUAAAAAUAUUUAGAGAUGUAAAAAUAAAAUGUUUUAAAAAUUUCC